CUCAGUCUUUUUCCACUGAUUGAUCUCGUCUGAUUGUGUUUGGGUUCUGUUCGAUCAGCUGUAUAUUUUUUUUAAAUGUAAAAGAAAAAAGAUUCCCCCUUGUGUUUCUCCCUGUCACUCAUGUUUCUACACUGCUUUCCCCCCGAGUGGUUGUUCUGUUUCUUCACACUUAUCUUCAUAUCCCUGUUGUUUUUGCUCUUGUUUGAUGGGUUAAUAUCUUCGUCAAGCUUUGGCCUUAUCAUGAGUAGUCCUACUGCUAUGGUAAUGGAUAUUUCUACCACUAAAAGGUCAGUUCCACUAGAUUAUUUAGAUGCUCUGCCAUCUAGAAUACAUGGCACAGUUUGUAUAAUUUUUCAAAUGUAAACAUAGGUCAGGAUUUUUCCUUCCAAAAGAUAAAUCUACGGCUGUUGUGUUUUGCCGGUGGGGUUAAUGAAGGAUGAAAUGAAACGCACCAAAGAUCGAAGAGUCAAAGACCGUGUAGCUCAUCUCGAUGUAAAUGCGUGCCAUUUAUUUCUCACUACGACCAGCUCCCUUUCAGACUCUUCUCCUACCUCAAAACCCAAAUUGAAAUUCAUAAUUUCAUCCUAUGAAUUUGAAUCAUGUUGCCUACUUCCCUCGCAUCCGAUGCUGUAUUGAUCAUUGGUGAUUCCAAUGGAGUCACAAAUUCUAUUUGUGUUGUUUCUGAUUUAAUCUUAGAAAGGUGAAACUGCUUUGAUUCUAAUGUCAAAAUCGAUGGGUGCAAAUGCUCAUGAUUGUAUGUGACUGAAAAAUUAUUGCCAUUACAUGUCUGUGUGGAAACUUGUUCACCGAAAGUCUGAAAGAAUCUUAAAAAGAAAUAUUUUGGUCAAGUAAACGUUGGCCAUCGAGAUUUGGGUGGAAGUGGGACUCCUGGUCAUACGGAUGUAGAGGUGGAUUUAAAAUUUGUGCAAAGAACUCUUAAGGGAUGCCGUGGAAACUGGCAAUUCUGGUUAAGGCUUCACAAGACCCGGUGUGGAACCGGAAAAAUCGGACCGGAACCGUACCAGAACCGGUGUAGUCAGUACAGGGACUGAGAAUGGAAUAUGAGAACCGGUGUAGACCUACACAGGUUCUUGUUGUGUGCCUAUUAUUUGUUGUUCAUAGAGGGGUAAGUCAUGGAAGGCAAGUGGCCCCAUUGUAGUUGGAAGGUAAGUUUCAUUAUUAUGGUUUUGUUUACUGAUACUUGUUAUUUUAUUUGGUGGGUGAGGUUGUUAAUGGAAAACCAUUCACACCGGUAGUUGGUGAACAAUCAUUACCAAAUUGCUUGGCAUCAAAUUCAAGGUGUCCAUAAUCUCAGUCUAAUGAAAAUCAUACCCUCCGAAUUUUCGUGGGUACCAGCAGUCAUGCUCUUUCUCGGGGUGUUGCCAUUGAAAACUAUAACGCGGACUCCAGCAUGCCAUGCUUGAUCAUCUACCUGAUCUUGUAAUCCCAAGGGUUAGCUAUGAACUCGUUACUCAAAUUAGAUAAUAAACAAAGAUUCCAGUUCUUCUUCAUUCUGUGUAUGUUUUGGUUAUGUUUACUAUUUGUUUUAGGAAACAUGAAUGGUCUUCUAAUGCCACACUCUCCUACUGACCAAGUUCGAUAACCUUUAUGGAUCCCGAUGGUCUCAUGAGGGCCACUGAUGUCAUGAUUGUUGUUGUUGUGGGGUAAGGAGAUGUUGGAAAGAGUUGUGCUUCUGCUCUCAAGCAAGCUGGUGCCCAGGUCAAAAUCACUGAAAUUAAUGACAAAAUCUUUAGAACUUCUAGCACUUCUCUUUCAGAAACCUUAAACUUACUAUUUAAGAAUUGAUUCCUUUCUUGUAUGAUUUUUUAAACAGUUGGAAUUGUCAUUUUCUAGUGGAUGAAUCAGGCUUUUAUUAUCUGAAUUUCAUUUUAAUUUUGAUUGGC